GCUCCCAUGGCGUAGUGGUCACUGCGCUCGCUUUGCACGCGGGAGACCCGGGUUCGAUUCCCGGUGGGGUCA
rnacentral:tRNA from 1 species